AUACGGAGGGUGCAAGCGUUAUUCGGAAUCACUGGGCUUAAAGAGUGCGUAGGCGGCUUUGUAGGUGAGGUGUGAAAUCCCACGGCUCAACCGUGGAACUGCGCUUCAAACCACAAGGCUUGAGGGAGGCAGAGGUAAGCGGAACUGAUGGUGGAGCGGUGAAAUGCGUUGAUAUCAUCAGGAACACCAGUGGCGUAGGCAGCUAGCUAGGCAUUAAUUGACGCUGAGGCACGAAAGCGUGGGGAGCGAACAGGAUUAGAAACCCCAGUAGUCC
rnacentral:rRNA from 1 species